rnacentral:rRNA from 1 species
AUACGUAGGUGGCAAGCGUUGUCCGGAAUUAUUGGGCGUAAAGCGCGCGCAGGCGGUCCUUUAAGUCUGAUGUGAAAGCCCCCGGCUCAACCGUGGAGGGUCAUUGGAAACUGGGGGACUUGAGUGCAGAAGAGGAAAGUGGAAUUCCAAGUGUAGCGGUGAAAUGCGUAGAGAUUUGGAGGAACACCAGUGGCGAAGGCGACUUUCUGGUCUGUAACUGACGCUGAGGCGCGAAAGCGUGGGGAGCAAACAGGAUUAGAUACCCUGGUAGUCCACGCCGUAAACGAUGAGUGCUAAGUGUUAGGGGGUUUCCGCCCCUUAGUGCUGCAGCUAACGCAUUAAGCACUCCGCCUGGGGAGUACGGUCGCAAGACUGAAACUCAAAGGAAUUGGCGGGG